GUGUGGUAGGGGCAGAGGGAAUUCCCGGUGUAGCGGUGAAAUGCGUAGAUAUCGGGAAGAACACCAGUGGCGAAGGCGCUCUGCUGGGCCAUAACUGACGCUCAUGGACGAAAGCCAGGGAGCGAAAGGGAUUAGAUACCCCUGUAGUCCUGGCCGUAAACGAUGAACACUAGGUGUCGGGGGAAUCGACCCCCUCGGUGUCGUAGCCAACGCGUUAAGUGUUCCGCCUGGGGAGUAAGCACGCAAGUGUGAAACUCAAAGGAAUUGACGGGGGCCCGCACAAGCGGUGGAGUAUGUGGUUUAAUUCGAUGCAACGCGAAGAACCUUACCAGGGUUUGACAUCCUGCGAAUCUCUUGGAAACGAGAGAGUGCCUUCGGGAGCGCAGUGACAGGUGGUGCAUGGCUGUCGUCAGCUCGUGUCGUGAGUUGUUGGGUUAAGUCCCGCAACGAGCGCAACCCACGUCGUUAGUUGCCAGCAUUUAGUUGAGCACUCUAGCGAGACCGCCGGUGAUAAACCGGAGGAAGGUGUGGAUAACGUCAAGUCAUCAUGCCCCUUACAUCCUGGGCUACACACGUACUACAAUGCUACGGACAAAGGGCAGCAAGCUCGCGAGAGUUAGCAAAUCCCAUAAACCGUGGCUCAGUUCAGAUCGUAGGCUGCAACUCGCCUACGUGAAGGAGGAAUCGCUAGUAAUCGCAGGUCAGCAUACUGCGGUGAAUACGUUCCCGGGCCUUGUACACACCGCCCGUCACACCAUGGAAGUUGGCCACGCCCGAAGCCGUUACUCCAUCCCUUGUGGAGGAGGACGUCGAAGGUGGGGCUGAUGACUGGGGUGAAGUCGUAACAAGGUAUCCGUACCGGAAGGUGCGGCUGGUUCACCUCCUAA
rnacentral:rRNA from 1 species